AUUGAACGCUGGCGGCAUGCUUUACACAUGCAGGUCGAACGGUAACAGGCCGCAAGGUGCUGACGAGUGGCGAACGGGUGAGUAAUGCAUCGGAACGUGCCCAGUCGUGGGGGAUAACGCAGCGAAAGCUGCGCUAAUACCGCAUACGAUCUAUGGAUGAAAGCGGGGGACCGUAAGGCCUCGCGCGAUUGGAGCGGCCGAUGUCAGAUUAGGUAGUUGGUGGGGUAAAGGCUCACCAAGCCAACGAUCUGUAGCUGGUCUGAGAGGACGACCAGCAACACUGGGACUGAGACACGGCCCAGACUCCUACGGGAGGCAGCAGUGGGGAAUUUUGGACAAUGGGCGCAAGCCUGAUCCAGCAAUGCCGCGUGCAGGAAGAAGGCCUUCGGGUUGUAAACUGCUUUUGUACGGAACGAAACGGUUCGGGUUAAUACCCUGAGCUAAUGACGGUACCGUAAGAAUAAGCACCGGCUAACUACGUGCCAGCAGCCGCCGUAA
rnacentral:rRNA from 1 species